rnacentral:rRNA from 1 species
GAUGAACGCUAGCUACAGGCUUAACACAUGCAAGUCGAGGGGCAGCGGGAUUGAAGCUUGCUUCAAUUGCCGGCGACCGGCGCACGGGUGAGUAACGCGUAUCCAACCUUCCGUACACUCAGGGAUAGCCUUUCGAAAGAAAGAUUAAUACCUGAUGGUAUGAUGAGAUUGCAUGAUAGCAUCAUUAAAGAUUUAUCGGUGUACGAUGGGGAUGCGUUCCAUUAGGUAGUAGGCGGGGUAACGGCCCACCUAGCCAACGAUGGAUAGGGGUUCUGAGAGGAAGGUCCCCCACAUUUGGAACUGAGACACGGUCCAAACUCCUAACGGGAGGCAGCAGUGAGGAAUAUUGGUCAAUGGACGAGAGUCUGAACC